rnacentral:rRNA from 1 species
GACGAACGCUGGCGGCGUGCUUAACACAUGCAAGUCGAACGAAGUGGCGAACGGGUGAGUAACGUGUAAUCAACCUGCCCUUCAGAGGGGGACAACAGUUGGAAACGACUGCUAAUACCUCAUACUGAAGGAGGGGAUUGCGUUUGAUUAGCUCGUUGGCGGGGUAACGGCCCACCAAGGCGAUGAUCAGUAGCCGUGCUGCAAGGAUGAACGACCACAUUGGGACUGGGAAACGGCCCAAAAUCCUACGGGAGGCAGCAGUGGGGAAUCAUCCGCAAUGGACGAAAGUCUGACGGAGCAACGCCGCGUGGGUGAUGACGGCCUUCGGGUUGUAAAGCUCUGUUAAUCGGGACGCGGUACCGGAAUAGAAAGCCACGGCUAACUACGUGCCAGCAGCCGCGGUAAUUC